GACGAACGCUGGCGGCGUGCCUAAUACAUGCAAGUAGAACGCUGAAGAGAGGAGCUUGCUCUUCUUGGAUGAGUUGCGAACGGGUGAGUAACGCGUAGGUAACCUGCCUUGUAGCGGGGGAUAACUAUUGGAAACGAUAGCUAAUACCGCAUAACAAUGGAUGACCCAUGUCAUUUAUUUGAAAGGGGCAAAUGCUCCACUACAAGAUGGACCUGCGUUGUAUUAGCUAGUAGGUGAGGUAACGGCUCACCUAGGCGACGAUACAUAGCCGACCUGAGAGGGUGAUCGGCCACACUGGGACUGAGACACGGCCCAGACUCCUACGGGAGGCAGCAGUAGGGAAUCUUCGGCAAUGGGGGCAACCCUGACCGAGCAACGCCGCGUGAGUGAAGAAGGGUUUCGGAUCGUAAAGCUCUGUUGUAAGUCAAGAACGAGUGUGAGAGUGGAAAGUUCACACUGUGACGGUAGCUUACCAGAAAGAGACGGCUAACUACGUG
rnacentral:rRNA from 1 species